UUUUGGACAAUGGGCGAAAGCCUGAUCCAGCAAUGCCGCGUGUGGGAAGAAGGCCUUCGGGUUGUAAACCACUUCUGUACGGAACGAAAAAGUCUACCCUAAUACGGUGGGCUCAUGACGGUACCGUAAGAAUAAGCACCGGCUAACUACGUGCCAGCAGCCGCGGUAAUACGUAGGGUGCGAGCGUUAAUCGGAAUUACUGGGCGUAAAGCGUGCGCAGGCGGUUAUAUAAGACAGUUGUGAAAUCCCCGGGCUCAACCUGGGAAUUGCAUCUGUGACUGUAUAGCUAGAGUACGGUAGAGGGGGAUGGAAUUCCGCGUGUAGCAGUGAAAUGCGUAGAUAUGCGGAGGAACACCGAUGGCGAAGGCAAUCCCCUGAGUCCUGUACUGACGCUCAUGCACGAAA
rnacentral:rRNA from 1 species